UUGCGUCCAGUCCGAUAUUGAUAGGUAACGCGCCCAGUGUGAAAAGGCUAUUACUCUACUGCUGCACCACUGGCUAUCUUCUAUAGAUUAAUGGCUAAUAUCGUCUGCGUAACCCAACAACUAAAAUUGAGUUAUUCUGGUAUAAACUUUGCGGCGUCCAUCAGAUACAAUCAAAGGAUUUGCCUAUCAUUGUUUUUUUUGCAAACUGUUUUUGAUUGUUAACUAAUUAAAUUUUAAUUAUCGCUCGUUAAAUUGCUAGCCACUUCCUGUAAAUCCUACCUUUGUUUCUGGCUUUGCGAUGAUUUUACGUAUAUAAAAUUUGCUGGAGGUGGUGCAAUAGGGGGAAUUUUUAUGAAGAAAAAAACUAAGAACUGAAAAUUGAAAAAUUAUACACAACGAUUCCACUCCGACUGGGAUAUCUGCCCAAACGUCAUUAUAAAGCUUGACAAGUCCACGCGACUCUCUUGAAAUCCUUUAAUGUGGCUGGCUGUACAGUGUUGAAAUCCUCAAGUGUAAAGACGAUCUGAUCCUGAUAAAAAGGGGCCCCAAUAUUGAUUUGCCCCAAAGCUUUUCCUUGGAAAGGGCAAGAUUGAAUAUCUCUGCGGCCCCUAUGCCAUCGCACCGCUCGGUGGCGCACUUUUGACCACAAUGAAAUCAUACAUUAAUAGAUGAUAAAAAGAUUGGGAAGACCGAAAGCCUAGUAGGUGUAUUCCAUGUAUUAACAGUAUGAUUGAUGAUUUAAGUGAUACUUUUCAUAAAUCUUCAAAAGUAUUUAAAUUCGAAUCGAAUUAAAUGGGGUUGCAGGAUAUCUAUAUACUUACAUUCAUUACAGUUCCAGAGUCAAAAACUGCAUCACUUAUAUCAUUUGUAUCAAUUUGUAUAUCACUUUCCCCCGCAAAUGUUUCAAUACAGUCAUAUUCAGCAUGAUUAUGUUUGUCUAUAAUCAAUUCGCUUUCUUCUGUUUGAAUAUCCUUAUUUGACAAUGGUGUUUUUAAAAUGUUUUCAUUUAAUUGAGAUUUCUGUCGUAAAAGCGAACCGAACUUUUCGAAAAACCCAUCGUCUCCAUCCUGUAACCUGUGAAAUAUAAAUUUUAAUUUUUUUAUGACACACCAAAGACGUUUAUUCUCUAUGAUUCUUAAGUUUUGUUAUUUUGAGAUAUAUGAAUAUAACGAAGAGGUGGGCACGCCGUCGCUCUUUCCGUUGUUUUUUGGGAGGCGCUAGCAAGUUGUCCCAGACGGUCGUCGCUCGCGUUCAGCGAUCUUUGAAACUUUACAAAAACAAUGCCACUGAAAUUUGGCUUCAAACAGGCGGCCAAAAUGAUUCGACGCCGCGAUCUCGAGAUUGCAAGAACACAUAAUGUGUCUUGGCUCAUGACUGCGACGCGUCGCAACGGUGGUGGUUUUUGUUGUAAAUCUGCAUAGACCGCCCAUGCUAGUGCCUUGCUUGCGUAAGGUACAAACAUACUACCAAUCUUCGAAUACAUACAUACAUAUGUGUGAAUCACAUUGUCUUAAUUUCUGUUUAUUUUUUAAGUUCACUUUUAUGAUAUAUGUAUAUAUAUGUACAUAUGUAUGUGAGAUUGACAGAACGGACCCAAAAACUUUCAUUAAUACAUAUGUAUGUGUAUACAUAUUUUCGACAUAUCUUCAUAUUGGCCACUAGUAAAUUUACAUAAAAAACAAAUCUAUACAUAUAUUACAUUUGUAUAUUAAACUUACUGAUGUUCGUGCUCUGUGGGUGGAUUCAUUUUGAGCUCGUGCAAUUUGACGAAAAAACCUUUCCACAUUUGUUCCUCAUCCAUUGCAAUGUUUUUAAGUCACACAGGAAACAACAGCUAAAAUAAAAGACGAGUAUGCAUGAACAAGCACUGGGAAGAAACUGUGAUGAUUCAAAGCUGAGCUGCUCUGAAAUAUAUCAUUUGAUAAGAUCUUGGCCCGAGUCUUUUAGGUUCUUUAUCUUCUACGUACAUAUAUGUACAUAUAUAAAUCCUGGCGCCGAAACAUUUUUCAGGAAGGGUUUCCGGCCCGUAAACAGAAUCGCACAUCUUUGGCUUCGAAGACUAUAGAAAAUUCGACCCAGGCCUCAAUGACGAUUACGUUGGAGUAUCUGAUAGAUGCUUGAGCUUUAUCUGGAGAGGUCUGAGGUCUGCCUCUAUUUGGUCUGGUUGGAUCCUCGAGUCGGAUUUGUAGACUUAAAAUUCUGAUUUAUUUUAGCCUAGUCGGACAUGCACACUCCCAACGUGAAUAUUUCACAAUCCAGAAACAACUUGAAGAUUAAAAUGGAUA